UGCAUCGGCUGGGAAUCGAACCCGGGGCGCUCGCGUAGCAGGCGAGCAUUCUACCACUGAACCACCGAUUC
rnacentral:tRNA from 1 species